AAAGCAUAAGUGAGGAAAGUCCAGGUUCGACCGCUGAACCUCAAGUUCGGCCGCCGAACAUGGCAUGCAUGCGGAGGCACGUUCGGCCCCCGAACGUGGCUUGGCCAGCCACUAUAAAAGGGUCCCUUAGCCGAAAACGGGUGAGCUUUUUCCCCAUUUCCGGCCAAGGUGAGUUCUUCGCCACCCCUCACCGAUCUUGAGUCUUUUCCUUCAGAUCUUUCGAGUUUUUCACAAGUUUUUACUUUGUUUUGAAGAUUUUUGAGUUUUAAGCAAGUUUUGGAGCUUUGAGGUUCAAGAACCCAAAAAUCUCCCACCUCCGAGUUUAGGACGUCUCUCUCUCGAUCUUCAAGAGGUAAGAGCCGAUCUUAAACUCAUUUCAUGUUUAAAGUAAGUUUUAUGCAAGAUCUAUGGGGUAGAAUGCAUGUUUAGCUCAUGGUUAGGUUAUGGGUUUUAUUUGUGUUUUUGAACAAUGUGAGUUGCUUGUGUGUUGUAGUUGGGGUUUUUGAUGGUUUGAUGCCCCUAGGAACUUGUAUGUUUGCUUGUGUAUGAUUGGGAAUGUUGUAGAAUAGGUUUAUGCAUGUUUGGGUAGUUUUGGAAGCGAAUGUGCAUAGGAGAGCUGAGUUUCUGCCACUAAGGGAGAAACCAGGUUCGGCAGCCGAAGGAACUUUCGGCCGCCGAACAUGCUUGUGGAGGCAGCCUUAUGCUGCCGAAGCUUGCCCCCGAAAGGAGACUUUCGUCUCUGUCUGGGACUUUUGGCCGCCGAAAGUGCCGCCGAACUUGCAUGAGUUUCGCCUCUGUCUGGGAGUUUCGGCCGCCGAAGGUGCCGCCGAACCUGCCUGACUUUCGGCUCUGGAGGGAUUUUCGGCCGCUGAACCUGCCGCCGAAAGUGCCCUGUUCAGCCAUUUCUUGCAUGUUGUUCUAUGAUUAUUCCAUGAUGUUUUAGGGGGUUUUUGGGGAAUAGUUUAGAGUUAUGUUCAUGUAUGUUGGUCCCUCAUUUGAGUCCACCUGUGUAGGUUCGGACCCGAGGAACCGAGGACCCCCGCAGUGAGUCUGUUGCCCCAGUGUCUGGUCAGAGCUAUCCAGAGG
rnacentral:lncRNA from 1 species